rnacentral:rRNA from 1 species
GAUGAACGCUGGCGGCGUGCUUAACACAUGCAAGUCGAACGAAGCAUUUGCGACAGAUUUUUUCGGAAUGAAGUUGCUUAUGACUGAGUGGCGGACGGGUGAGUAACGCGUGGGUAACCUGCCUUGUACUGGGGGAUAGCAGCUGGAAACGGCUGGUAAUACCGCAUAAGCGCACAAUGUUGCAUGACAUGGUGUGAAAAACUCCGGUGGGAUAAGAUGGACCCGCGUCUGAUUAGCUAGUUGGUGAGAUAACAGCCCACCAAGGCGACGAUCAGUAGCCGACCUGGGAGGGGGACCGGCCACAUUGGGACUGAGACACGGCCCAGACUCCUACGGGAGGCAGCAGUGGGGAAUAUUGCACAAUGGAGGAAACUCUGAUGCAGCGACGCCGCGUGAGUGAAGAAGUAAUUCGUUAUGUAAAGCUCUAUCAGCAGGGAAGAUAGUGACGGUACCUGACUAAGAAGCUCCGGCUAAAUACGUG